GUUUUCCAAAAUGUCAGUAUCUUAUACUUAAGUAGUAAUAGCUAUGUACUUGAAACUUAAAAAACUUGGCGGUAUUUCAAUCUAUCCAGAGAAACCUGCUUUGUACUCUAUAAUCCACGAUGGACCUUACUUAAGUUUGAAUCAGUUUAUAUACCGCGUUAUCAGAAUAUCUUAUAACGAAUAAUAAUAUUCAAGAAUUGCUAUUAAAACUUAUAUCAGAUCAAGGUGUGGCUUACAUAUAAGGCAUAAUGGGGUACAAUAAAAUUCUCUAAACGGAUAAAAUUAUGAAAAAUUUUUUGAAGGUGCCUUUGGUAGUAAACUUAUAACGAUAGAUACUUUGUUUUAGUUCUAAAAUAUGUACACAUCGCCCGUCGCUCUUAUUAUUAAGGUAAGAUAAGUCGUAACAUAGUAGAUGUACUGGAAAGUGUAUCUAGAAUGA
rnacentral:rRNA from 1 species